rnacentral:misc_RNA from 1 species
UUGUGUCGUCUGCUGUACAUGGACAUAAAUAUAUUUGGUAGACACCACAUAGACCUACUGCUGAUCAGAAUGUUUCAAAAUGUUGUGUCAACAAGAGAGUUAUUGUCAGACAGUUUCAGCAGUGAACGACAGGAUACCUGUGAACUGUCAUAUGGGUCGCAGCAGUAUUCUCAACUUCCAUAUUCUCAACAAGAGUUCUCACAAGUCAGCACACAGGAUAUGUUUACUCAACAGUUAUCCAGUGGCUCACAGAAUGAGAUGAUGCAUGGUACCCACAGCAGGAAACCCACUCUGUAUGAUAAGUGGAAAAACAAAGCCACUUCUGCAUUCAAGCAGGUGCCUGCAAGCAAACAAAAUACCAGCACUAGCACUGUGACAAGCAGACCUUUGCAGACCAAAUCUAAUUUUGGUAUUCAGCAGCUACAGAUAAACAAAACAAGGGCCAAGGAGAGAGAUGAAAGGGACUUUCUACAACAAGUGGUGAAUACUGUUCAAGAUAGCUCCAAAGAGGUAAGACUGACUUUAUGUGCUGUACGAGAAAAAUUGGAACACACUGCAGAUCAAUCUGAACAGAAUCUACAACAAAUCAUAACGUCAUUCUUAGAUGACCUGUGCAAACACCAAGAUAAGAUUCUUAAUGCUAUUCAGGAGAAAGACAGUAAUUCAUGCAGGAUGCAUGAUUUGGAAAGAGAUCUAGCCAUGAGAGAUGCCAAGAUUCAAUCUUUGGAGAAGAUUAUUGAUGACCAGGAGAAAGAUAAGCCAAAUAAGAUUGUGUGUGCCCUGCAAAAAGAAUUACUACCUCCCCAUCAGAAAGUGGAUGAGAAACUGUCAGAGCUGUUGGAGACUACACGUGACAACCAUGAGCAGUACACUCAACAGAUUCAUGAGCAGAAACAACAGCUAGAGCAACAGCAGAAACUCUACUCCGACCUCAAGAAGGCUCAUCAGACUCAGGUCAAAGACACAGAAAAAAGAUUGAUGACAGAAGUUUCCAACUUACGCAAAGACAUCAGGAAAAAGGAGAGUAGUUGUCUGCAAGAUAUCUUGGAACAGCUGAAGAUGGCACAAGAGCAACAGAAUGAAGAGCUAGAAAGUCACAUCUCCAGGCUUAUCGAUAGGCCAACAGAAGUCUCAUAUCAUUCCCGAGAUCAAGGACUGCAAAGGAAAGAGAUACAGGCUCUUUUCAAAAAGCACUGGGAAUCAGUGGAGAGAUUUGUUGAAACUCAGUUUAACAAGCAGUUGAAAGUACAAGAGCAGCAGCUUGAGAGUGCAGUGCAAGACAUUAAAGAUGCAGAGUGUAAGCAUGAUCAGUUCAGUAGCUUCUUGUCCCUACCCCAGUUUGAGGAUAAGAUGGGUCAAUACCAUGAAGAUUUUAAGAAGCAGGUGGAAUGUUUGCAUGAGAACCAUGUAAAGGAGUUACAACAACUGAGGACUGCAGAACAGGUAAAACAGCGAGAACAAAAGAAUAAAGAGUUGAACGUACAAACAGAUGUUGGGAGAAGGUUCAGAUGGGACAAAGGACCAAACACAAACAAGUAUGAUGGUCUGGAUAGAAAGAGUACAAAUGAGGCCUGUCGCUUUCCUAAAUCCACUGUUGUGUUUGGAAGAUGUGAAGCAAAUGGAUCAUUACCAGUACGUGAAUCAGCAAUUGUAUCCCCUCUAACAGCAAACUACAAGAAGCUAAAUUCCAGAUCUUUCUUUUCAAAAUCAACAUUCUCCCCAGUUGCCACUGUUCAACCUCUAAGAAAUGAAACUCAACUUAUUUCAAACCUAUUACAUGCUGAAAAUCAACAGACAGAGGCAAUAGUAACUGAAACUGUCACACAUAUUGAAAAAAAGAAGACAAAUAAAAGGAAGAAGAAGAGGUCCAAAUUUGCAAAAGCUGAGAAAUCCAAACCUCUGACAUCUGAACUUGCACCAUCUUCUGAACCUGUUCAAGGCAGAGUACUGAGGCAGAGGAAUUUAGUGAUUAAUCAACAAGCUAAUAAAAGCAUGCCAAAAACACUUGCAUGCAGAGGAAAAGUUUCAGAGACAACACCAGGACUAACCUCAACAUCAAAAGCAAUUUCAUUAAACGACACGACCUUGACAUCAAAUAGGCCUACAGCACCAUCUGUAAAUUCUCCAAACAAGAAUGUAUCAGUGUAUGAAUUUAGAGAUGAAGACAUUGGAGACAGAACUAGAGCUACCAAGAAACCUUUCGUUGGCAGUAGGACACAAAGUUAUCGGUUCACCUCUCACAAAAAUGAACUGAUGACCAUGGACACAAGCCAAACUGUCACAUUUCCAAGGCCUCUGACAUCACCUUGCAUAGAUAUGAUGUUACAAAACUGCGGCCAGUUACAUCAAUAAGUUUCUCAGCUUCCGCUUGAAUCCUGUCCCCAACAGCCCUACCAUGGUCUUCCUCCUUAACAGCAUUUGCGAUGAACUUCUCAAGUAUGUUAAACAGGUCAGUCAAAUGAGAGCCGUGACUCUUCUCCAUCAUUGUCUAUUACUGAAGUGGUAGUGAGGAGGAGAAUCAAAUGUGACAAGCAAACACCUGACAUGAACCUGCAUUUUAACACAGGCGGAUUAGAGACAUUU